AUGCAAAGAAAACGAGUUCAUAUUUAUAAAGUUUUAAUAGUUCAGAAAUCAAUAUUUGGUGGAAUAACCCUGGUUUUUAAUCACAGUUUUUAUGCAUCUUGGCAUGUUCUCCUCCACCAGUCUUACACACCGCUUUUGGAUAACUUUAUGCCUGCACUCCUGGUGCAAAAAUUCAGGCAGUUCAGCUUGGUUUGAUGGCUUGUAAUCAUCCAUCUUCCUCUUGAUUAUAUUCCAGAGGUUUUCAAUUUGGUAAAAUCAUAAAUGUAAGAUGUCUCUUCAUUCUUACAUUUUAGUUGGUCUCUUAUUUAAUUAGUUGGUCUCUGUAUGUUAAAAUUGAAAUGGAGACUUUUAUAGUUAUAUGUGGGACUUUUAUAUUGAAAUUUGGUGACGGCUGCUCUUACCGGCUGCCUCAGUGAAAUGUUAUAAAACCAGCACUCAUGUUAUCAAACAAUCUCAUCUUUACAUUUAAGGUCACUGCAAGACGAUCAUAAAUUUGAGUCGGCUGUAUGUUGUUCAGUAAUACGUAUUAGCUGAAAUUUUGUAAGUGUUCUUUCUGGAAUGGUCUAAAACAGGCGGGUAAACAGGUUUCUGUAAGUUUGAGAAGUAGUUAGUUAGUAACGUUUCUCUGUUUAAAACCUGAGCAGCGGAAACAGUGGCGAGAAGUCUUUAUUUUCUUCAGUAAUAAAUUGUUAAACUCGCGGUUUAAAACCCCGAUAUGGCCUCUGUGAGAGUCCUGACAGCCCUGCGGUGUAACUCCGGUCUCAGGUCCGCGGCGGCUGCUGGUCCUCUGCGGCUGAUCUGCAGCUCCGCUCCACAGCCUGUCCGGGUGCUGUACGAUGGAGAGUGUCCUAUAUGUGUAAAGGAAAUCGAGGUUCUUCGGUUUGUGCAGAAGAACAGGACAGGUAAAGUGGAGUUUGUUGAUAUUUCUGUACCAGAGUACGAUGGUGGGAGGUACAGAGGGGUCAGUUAUGAAGUGGCCAUGAAGGAGAUGACUGUGAUUGACGAGAACGAUGAGGUUCACCGUGGCGUUCCUGCAUUUGCUGUUAUGUACAAAGCUGUGGGUCUGGGCUGGUUGGCCAGGUUAAUCUCUCUGCCUCUCAUCAGGCCUCUGAUGGACCGUGCAUAUGAUGUGUUUGCCAGGAACAGACUGAGGUGGACUGGACGAGAAGAAUGCACAACAGGACAGUGUGAUAAGAGAGACAAAAGAGAACCCCGAUAAAUGAUUUUAAUACAUGUCUAAAUAAAUACACUGCCAGGCCAAAAAAAGUCGCCA
rnacentral:lncRNA from 1 species